AUCUCACAAGACGCACGGAUUUCCCCUUAAUCCUGCUCGAUCUACCAUUGCAACCUGCUUCGAAUUCACCGGCUGUUUGCGUCUAUUGGUGACGACAUCUGAUAAAUGAUGCAUUCUUUUUCAUCUUGUUGAUAAUGACUAUGGAUUCGAAGCAAAACUUUGAGGAUUCAACUGCUUAAUACGGAAAACAUUAGUAGGGAUUAAAUAUUAAUGAUUUAAAUUACAGAUCUCCGACUUUAGAGGAUGGCCAUGGCCACAUAGUGAAAACUGGUGAUUGGAACCCUAAAAUUAACGGAUGUAGCUGCCAUGGAAAUUUGAAUAUAAAAUAUGUGAUUAGACUA